UUUCCGCUAUCUAAUUGGCGAGCGUGGGGCUUCGAUGUAUUUGUAUUCGGAGGGGAAACAAAAAAUCUUUGAUAUGUUUUUGUAUGUAAUUGUAGAUUCCCUUCCAAGAGAAAUUGUAGAUUCCCUUCCAAGAGAAAUGGCUAUAUGGUUGGUAAGUCGAGGUGUAGGAGUGGCUGUGGGAUAUGGCUUAGGUAUGGAGAGAUUUUAUCCUCUUAAAUUUGUCAUCGACCGAUUCUCGAAUUAAUUAUCCUCUUAAAUUUGUCAUCGACCGAUUCUCGAAUUAAAUUUGUCAUCGACCGACCGAUACUUGAGAAGAAGAUGGAACGGAAAUCGAGGAGGAAGAAGCAGCAAUAAAUCCUAAUUAUGAUGAAGCUUUUAAUAAAUCCUAAUCUGCUUCUAAUAAAUCCUAAUUAUGAUGAAGCUUUUGUAUCCGUAAAUCAAGCCUUUUGCUAAAGAGGAUAUAUGUUUAAUAAAAGGAAGAAAAUUCAAGUAUUAUGGUUAUGGACAUGAUCAGUGGAUUUGGUAGGCUUGACUAUAAUGAUUUGGGCAUUUCAGUUUACUUUGUAUCAUCGAACAUUCAAGUAUCAUGUCAAGUAUCAUCGAACACCUUAAAAUUUAGAAUUUUACCUUUUUGGUUUUACACAUA